rnacentral:misc_RNA from 1 species
UGUGGGAGCGAGCUUGCUCGCGAUGACGGAAGAUCAGUCAAGCCAUCCAUUGGUUGACACACCGCUAUCGCGAGCAAGCUCGCUCCCACA